GACGAACGCUGGCGGCGUGCCUAAUACAUGCAAGUAGAACUCUGAAGGAGGAGCUUGCUUCUCUGGAUGAGUUGCGAACGGGUGAGUAACGCGUAGGUAACCUGCCUGGUAGCGGGGGAUAACUAUUGGAAACGAUAGCUAAUACCGCAUAAGAGUAGAUGUCGCAUGACAUUUGCUUAAAAGGUGCAAUUGCAUCACUACCAGAUGGACCUGCGUUGUAUUAGCUAGUUGGUGAGGUAACGGCUCACCAAGGCAACGAUACAUAGCCGACCUGAGAGGGUGAUCGGCCACACUGGGACUGAGACACGGCCCAGACUCCUACGGGAGGCAGCAGUAGGGAAUCUUCGGCAAUGGACGGAAGUCUGACCGAGCAACGCCGCGUGAGUGAAGAAGGUUUUCGGAUCGUAAAGCUCUGUUGUAAGAGAAGAACGAGUGUGAGAGUGGAAAGUUCACACUGUGACGGUAUCUUACCAGAAAGGGACGGCUAACUACGUG
rnacentral:rRNA from 1 species